rnacentral:rRNA from 1 species
UACGCUGGCAGUGCGUCUUAAGCAUGCAAGUCAAACGGGAUGUAGCAAUACAUCUAGUGGCGAACGGGUGAGUAACGCGUGGAUGAUCUACCUACGAGAUGGGGAUAACUAUUAGAAAUAGUAGCUAAUACCGAAUAAAGUCAAUUAAUUUGUUAAUUGAUGAAAGGAAGCCUUUAAAGCUUCGCUUGUAGAUGAGUCUGCGUCUUAUUAGUUAGUUGGUAGGGUAAAUGCCUACCAAGGCGAUGAUAAGUAACCGGCCUGAGAGGGUGAACGGUCACACUGGAACUGAGAUACGGUCCAGACUCCUACGGGAGGCAGCAGCUAAGAAUCUUCCGCAAUGGGCGAAAGCCUGACGGAGCGACACUGCGUGAAUGAAGAAGGUCGAAAGAUUGUAAAAUUCUUUUAUAAAUGAGGAAUAAGCUUUGUAGGAAAUGACGAAGUGAUGACGUUAAUUUAUGAAUAAGCCCCGGCUAAUUACGUGCCAGCAGCCGCGGUAAUACGUAAGGGGCGAGCGUUGUUCGGGAUUAUUGGGCGUAAAGGGUGAGUAGGCGGAUAUAUAAGUCUAUGCAUAAAAUACCACAGCUCAACUGUGGAACUAUGUUGG